GCUUGUCCUUUGCUUACAGAUUUGUGCCUGCUUGUGUUCACAAUCGCAUGCGAUAGAGCUCUGGACACGGAGUAAGAAGACUAGGAGAUGACACUGCCCAUAGAAGCAAGCACCGGCGCGCGACCAGAGAGUGUCACGUUGGGGGAGAGAAAAAAGGCAGUUGCUGACUUUACGCGACAGAUAGUACGGCGGCACUGUCUUCCAUUUUGCGCUUUUACAUGGAAGUCUAUGGGGAAAGCAAUGCUUUUCGCGAGUCGUACGGCAGCCUCUAUGAACGAAGACUAACUGAUGAACGUGAACGAUGUUUGUCUUGGGAAUAAAGGUCGCGCUUGUCAACUACAUAGCGCUUCCUGUUUAGCGAAAACAACGGAAAACAAUUUCAUUCUCUUGCCUCUCGGUUCUAUUGAGCAGACGACAGGAGCACGAUGAUCGAGUAAGCGUUUCAUCUUCUUCUUUUCUAGCGUUUAAUUCACGUGCUUUCACGUGUUUUAGUCACGCCGCCAGACAUGUGACAGUAUCACGUGACCGCAUGCUUCGGAAAUUAUGCGUCCUCGUGCAACAGAUGGCACUGCGGGCCGGGCCGCGUAGCGCGCGCUCCUCGUACAUUCUCUGGUCGCGGGAGAGAGUGAAGUUUCAUCUCCUAGUCUUCUUACUCCGUGGCUCUGGAGCACAGCAGCUGAAUAUCGUUUUCUUUCUCUGUAGAAUGAUGUUGCGAAUGAGUGACGAACACAAUGGAAGUGUAGGGCUGACCUUAAUGUGUUAACAAGAUUGUCGUUUGGUUACGUUCGAUGCUGUCUGUUCAGUGUGGUUGCGACGAACAAUAUGGAGAUGUGGGACUGACCUAUGUGUGUGUUAAGAUGCAAUCGUUUGGAUACGUUGUUGGCACGAGUGCCUCUUCGAUUCACGUCUUUAAUUUUUUUAUAGGUGCUUGCAGGGUCAUGGAAUGAAGGUCACGAUUACUACGCCUGGCUGUGUCGGCACUUCAGCUGAGCUAGAGCUACGAUCACAUUUUAGGAAAACGAAAACAGUUGCAUUUUCUUGUCCCCUUGUGUUCUAUGUACUCGCUAAUCUGACGCUGUCUGCUCUCACUACUCUGUGCUGUUGUCACUAAUCUGUGCUGACUGUGUUGCAGUGAAAUAUGGGUGCAGCGACCAUUUUGCCAGGGGCAUUUGUUUUUAAAACAGUGCGUACGUUGAGCAGUUCUUUCAUUUGAUAUCGGGCUGUCAAAACCGCACGCAUUAUGUUGGCGCGGGUACCUCAUGGUUUCAUGUAUUUUAUAGGUGCUUCAAGGCUCAUGGACUGGAGGUGACGAAUACAACGCCUGUCCUUUGGGUCAUUUGUUGGCACUUUGGCUUAGCUGCAACUACGAUCCUAUUUCAGUGUACCUCGGAAACGUUCCUUCCUGCUACCCACAGCCGUCUACCACCCCACACGUGUGUAAAGUACUGGUUGCAUUUGGAGCACUCAAGCAUGAACCCAAAGACAGAGGCAAUGGUUGCAGCUGCAAGUGAUACAAGUGCUGCGAUUUCUGUACAUGUACAUUAUUAUCUACUUUGGAAGAGUACCAAGAUUUGCUGGUAUGUGACUGUGCAAUAAGGGGAAAUGCUCACGAUGUCUGCUGACUUGUCCACAUGUUUGGAAGUCAAUGUUUGCCCGGUAUGUUCAUAGAAAUAAAUCUUGUACCAACAUC